UUCGGCGACUACCGGCGCAUCGGCGUCGCA
rnacentral:sRNA from 1 species